AUGUCUCUUCAUUCUCAGUUUCUGAGUGAUUCUGUCAUUUUGAGAGUGAAAACAAUCCUGUAUUCUGCUCCAGAAGGAUCAACCCAGGAAGGUGAAGGACAAAGGAAAAAACUGGUAUGUGUGAAAUGCUCUGAGGGAAGUCUCGGUGUGGCACAAGGAGAAGAGGGUUUCAGGGCUCCUGACAGCAGCUGGGCACCGCACCUGAGCAGCACUUGGGUAAAUAAGGCACAGAAAAUGUGUUUUGUCAAAGUGACACACAGCAAGCACUAGUAGGUGUAGCCAUCUCAGGAUAAAAGGAACAGAAGCCACUCACUUGAUGAACCUGAAAGCUUUCUUAGAAUUACAAAAGGAAUAAAUGAUCUUAAUCAUAUUAACUCCUGGGUGGU
rnacentral:lncRNA from 1 species